rnacentral:rRNA from 1 species
GACGAACGCUGGCGGCGUGCUUAACACAUGCAAGUCGAACGGAAAGGCCCUGCUUUUGUGGGGUGCUCGAUUGGCGAACGGGUGAGUAACACGUGAGUAACCUGCCCUUGACUUUGGGAUAACUUCAGGAAACUGGGGCUAAUACCGGAUAGGAGCUCCUGCUGCAUGGUGGGGGUUGGAAAGUUUCGGCGGUUGGGGAUGGACUCGCGGCUUAUCAGCUUGUUGGUGGGGUAGUGGCUUACCAAGGCUUUGACGGGUAGCCGGCCUGAGAGGGUGACCGGCCACCUUGGGACUGAGAUACGGCCCAGACUCCUACGGGAGGCAGCAGUGGGGAAUAUUGCACAAUGGGCGGAAGCCUGAUGCAGCAACGCCGCGUGCGGGAUGACGGCCUUCGGGUUAUAAACCGCUUUCGCCUGUGACGAAGCGUGAGUGACGGUAAUGGGUAAAGAAGCACCGGCUAACUACGUG